UACGUAGGGGGCUAGCGUUGUCCGGAUUUAUUGGGCGUAAAGAGCGUGUAGGCGGCCAGGUAGGUCUGCUGUGAAAACUCGAGGCUCAACCUCGAGACGUCGGCGGAAACCAUCUGGCUAGAGUCCGGAAGAGGAGAGUGGAAUUCCUGGUGUAGCGGUGAAAUGCGCAGAUAUCAGGAGGAACACCCAUUGCGAAGGCAGCUCGCUGGGACGUUACUGACGCUGAGACGCGAAAGCGUGGGGAGCAAACAGG
rnacentral:rRNA from 1 species